rnacentral:piRNA from 1 species
UGGGCUGAUCUCGCUAAAACACAAAGAGUA